UGUGAUUUAGAAAGGUGCGUUCACUCAACA
rnacentral:piRNA from 1 species